rnacentral:lncRNA from 1 species
GAACAGUCCGCGCCCAGCUAAAGCGCAGCGCGUCCGCGGGGCGGGGUCUGCCCUCCGCCGAGGGGCGGGACGCGGCCAAUCUGCCGCUCCCGGGGGCGGGGCCGGGCCGGCCGCCAUUGGCGGGGGUGAGGGGACGACCCGCCCGUCGUGCGCGCCCUCGGCCCGGCCGAGCUGCGCCGUGCUGACGGGGACGCGCCGCGCCCCGCCGAGCGAUCGGCGACGGAAAACUGUGGGAAGAAAGCUCCCGCCCGGCGCUUUCAGUCACCGCGCGGCUCUGAGCCGGGCCCCGCGCGGCCCCCGCCUGGAAAAACACCUCAGCCUCUGACGGGAAGCGCAGCGCCGAGGCGUCCCCACAGAGGCGCCCCGCUCCUCCCCGGCACCGAGGUGUGAAGUGACACAGCCGAGGCGCAGAGCGCACGGAAAUGCUUUAUUACGUUUGUCCAAAACGCCAGUUACAGUAAGGCACAGAGGUUAAGCACAUAUCGUCCUCCCCAAGGUCCCGGCCUCCCCCCUCACACCAGCCUUCUGUUCCCACUCAUCCAUCACAAACUGGCUUCUGUGAAGGCAAGAAUUAAUCCCAAACAGCAAAGGGUACAGUCAAUGUAACGGCAUUCAGUUACUCCUUUUACUAACAGGUCGUGGGAACAGUCAGUCUCAUCCAAAUAUGUUUAAUGAACUUUCAAUUUAAACACUAGAAACCCUCAGGAGCACUCUCUUGUUGCUACCACUUCAACAGGCUUCUCUCCCUUGAAAGAGUAUGGUAUGCUACAUCCGUCUCCUUUACUUACAUUCUGAUGUCUGAUUUAAUGUCACGUAUUACUAUCAAAGCGUUCUGGAAGGUUCCCCAGGCAGCCAACACCUGCCCUAGUUGUCACCAACAAUUUCUCUGGCAAUCAGCUCCUUCAUGAUCUCAUUGGUGCCACCGUAGAUGGGCUGAACACGGGCAUCCACAAAGGCUUUUGCAAUGGGAUACUCCCACAUGUACCCCGAGCCUCCGUGCAAUUGCACACACUGAGUUGCUACGCUGUUUUGGAGAUCAGACGCCCAGUACUUUGCCAUAGAAGCUGUGGGGGAGUCCAGGCGUUUUUCUGAGUGCAGCUGCAAACAGUUGUCCAAAAAAGCUCGGCCCACACAAAUGUUUGUUUUCAUUUCUGCCAACUUGUG